rnacentral:sRNA from 1 species
CUCCCGGUGGAUGUGGACGAGCAAGGCCUGCAGGACCUCUUCUCCCAGUUUGGGAAAAUGCUGAGUGUGAAGGUGAGCGGGCGGCUGCUGUACGCAGGCCGGGCCCAAAAGCGCGUGGAGCGGCAGAAUGAACUGAAGCGCAGGUUUGAGCAGAUGAAGCAGGACCGGCUGAGGCGUUACCAGGGUGUGAACUUGUACGUGAAGAACCUGGAUGACUCCAUUGAUGACGACAAGCUGAGGAAGGAGUUCUCUCCCUAUGGAGUAAUUACCAGUGCGAAGAAGAGGCGACAAAGGCCGUGACAGAGAUGAACGGGCGCAUCGUGGGCACCAAGCCACUCUACGUGGCACUGGCCCAGCGCAAAGAGGAGCGGAAGGCCAUUUUGACCAACCAGUACAUGCAGCGCCUCUCCACCAUGCGGACCUUGAGCAACCCCCUCCUGGGCUCCUUUCAGCAGCCCUCCAGCUACUUCCUGCCUGCCGUGCCCCAG